ACCGCAUACGUCCUACGGGAGAAAGCAGGGGACUUCGGGCCUUGCGCUAUCAGAUGAGCCUAGGUCGGAUUAGCUAGUUGGUGAGGUAAUGGCUCACCAAGGCGACGAUCCGUAACUGGUCUGAGAGGAUGAUCAGUCACACUGGAACUGAGACACGGUCCAGACUCCUACGGGAGGCAGCAGUGGGGAAUAUUGGACAAUGGGCGAAAGCCUGAUCCAGCCAUGCCGCGUGUGUGAAGAAGGUCUUCGGAUUGUAAAGCACUUUAAGUUGGGAGGAAGGGUUGUAGAUUAAUACUCUGCAAUUUUGACGUUACCGACAGAAUAAGCACCGGCUAACUCUGUGCCAGCAGCCGCGGUAAUACAGAGGGUGCAAGCGUUAAUCGGAAUUACUGGGCGUAAAGCGCGCGUAGGUGGUUUGUUAAGUUGGAUGUGAAAGCCCCGGGCUCAACCUGGGAACUGCAUUCAAAACUGACAAGCUAGAGUAUGGUAGAGGGUGGUGGAAUUUCCUGUGUAGCGGUGAAAUGCGUAGAUAUAGGAAGGAACACCAGUGGCGAAGGCGACCACCUGGACUGAUACUGACACUGAGGUGCGAAAGCGUGGGGAGCAAACAGGAUUAGAUACCCUGGUAGUCCACGCCGUAAACGAUGUCAACUAGCCGUUGGGGACCUUGAGUCUUUAGUGUUGCAGCUAACGCAUUAAGUUUAAUUUUUUCGGAGCGGCGA
rnacentral:rRNA from 1 species